UAGGAUUCUUCACUGGUUUUGUUGGCUUGAUAGGCUCCAUAUUACUACUACAGUCUUGGAGAGAUACCUACUCCAAAUUCUUGAAUGCUCUAAUAUUGAGAAUCUUCAAGUGCUGGAAGCAGUGAAUCUACCUGGCCAGUUUCUCUAAAGUUGAUAAUGGCAGGUACUUUUUUGUAUAGAUACUUUAUUAUUAUUACUCACUGUUUAUGAUUUUUCACGGCUAUCUUUUUUUUUUGGCCUCGUAUGGAGUUUAUUCAUUCGAAAAUGCACUUCUAAGUACUAAAUGUUUUUCUUUUGCAGGAUAUCCUAUUCCUACUAGAUGUGAUUGGUUAGCAGUGUGGCGUUCUCUUCCUUGACUGUUCUAUUAUGUGUAUGAUAGUAUGAAUAAAUGAGAUUCUGUUAAGACUUUAGUGUGUGUGUGUGUGUGUGUUAUGAUUUCAAGUUUGGCAGUGUUUGUAUGCAAGUGUUAUGGCUUCUGCAAUCAAGUUAGUAAUGUAAUACCUUUACCAUGAUUGUUCCAUUGGAUGAAGAAGCAAGAUGAUUAUGAGAAACGUAUAUGCAUAUCAUGUAAUUGAAGCUUCAUAUGGUUCAUUCUAACAAAUCUUGCAAAGAUUAUGCCUUAAUUCAGCUUUAAAUAUAAAAAAUAAUUAUGAAAACAAUAGCAGAAAAGUAAUGUUAAAGAGGCUGUAGAGCAUAUUAUCUACCAAAUUUAAUCAAACACACUGUAUUUUAUUUGAAACAUCCCAAUACAUGUAUUGAAUAAUCAAUUAUGGAA
rnacentral:lncRNA from 1 species